rnacentral:rRNA from 1 species
AACGAACGCUGGCGGCAUGCCUAACACAUGCAAGUCGAACGAGACCUUCGGGUCUAGUGGCGCACGGGUGCGUAACGCGUGGGAACCUGCCCUUAGGUUCGGAAUAACUCCCCGAAAGGGGUGCUAAUACCGGAUAAUGUCUUCGGACCAAAGAUUUAUCGCCUUUGGAUGGGCCCGCGUUGGAUUCGCUAGUUGGUAGGGUAAAAGCCUACCAAGGCGACGAUCCAUAGCUGGUCUGAGAGGAUGAUCAGCCACACUGGGACUGAGACACGGCCCAGACUCCUACGGGAGGCAGCAGUGGGGAAUAUUGGACAAUGGGCGAAAGCCUGAUCCAGCAAUGCCGCGUGAGUGAUGAAGGCCUUAGGGCUGUAAAGCUCUUUUACCCGGGAUGAUAAUGACAGUACCGGGAGAAUAAGCUCCGGCUAACUCCGUG